rnacentral:rRNA from 1 species
UACGGAGGGGCUAGCGUUGUUCGGAAUUACUGGGCGUAAAGCGCACGUAGGCGGCUUUGUAAGUUAGAGGUGAAAGCCUGGAGCUACAACUCCAGAAUUGCCUUUAAGACUGCAUCGCUUGAAUCGCGGAGAGGUGAGUGGAAUUCCGAGUGUAGAGGUGAAAUUCGUAGAUAUUCGAAGAACACCAGUGGCGGAAGGCG